rnacentral:rRNA from 1 species
CCUACGGGAGGCAGCAGUGAGGAAUAUUGGUCAAUGGACGAGAGUCUGAACCAGCCAAGUAGCGUGAAGGAUGACUGCCCUAUGGGUUGUAAACUUCUUUUAUAUGGGAAUAAAACGUUCCACGUGUGGGAUUUUGUAUGUACCAUAUGAAUAAGGAUCGGCUAACUCCGUGCCAGCAGCCGCGGUAAUACGGAGGAGCCGAGCGUUAUCCGGAUUUAUUGGGUUUAAAGGGAGCGUAGGUGGAUUGUUAAGUCAGUUGUGAAAGUUUGCGGCUCAACCGUAAAAUUGCAGUUGAAACUGGCAGUCUUGAGUACAGUAGAGGUGGGCGGAAUUCGUGGUGUAGCGGUGAAAUGCUUAGAUAUCACGAAGAACUCCUAUUGCGAAGGCAGUUCACUGGACUGCAACUGACACUGAGGCUCGAAAGUGUGGGUAUCAAACAGGAUUAGAUACCCGUGUAGUC